rnacentral:rRNA from 1 species
UCGAAUGAUGACAGAAAAUUNGGAUACACCUGUUCCCAUUCCGAACACAGAAGUUAAGCUCUUUAGCGCUGAAGGUACUUGGCGGGAAGCUGCCCGGGAGAAUAGGACGUAGCUACGU